AUUCCUCCCUCGGCCUCAUAGCCACGAUCAAGUGUAGUAUUUGUUCUUAUCAGUUUAAUAUUUAAUAAGCGGACGGUGGACAAUUGGUUCACAUGAUAUUAAAUCUAUUUUUUCAGGGGGAAAAGCCACCAUGGUAGCUUACUAUUGGGUUCCUUAAGCAGCGCCCAUGCGUUGCACUACUGUAAGGGCCUGCCGGGCCCCUC